AGAAUCAACGCUGGCGGCGUGCCUAACACAUGCAAGUCGAACGCGACUAUCCCGCAAGGGAUAGCUGAGUGGCGAACGGGUGAGUAACACGUGGGUGACCUACCUUCGAGUGGGGGAUAACGUCCCGAAAGGGACGCUAAUACCGCAUAACAUCCCGCCUUUGAACAGGUGGAGAUCAAAGCCGGGGAUCGCAAGACCUGGCGCUUGAUGAGGGGCCCGCGUCCGAUUAGCUAGUUGGUGAGGUAAUGGCUCACCAAGGCGACGAUC
rnacentral:rRNA from 1 species